AGCAACGAACUCAUCGGCGGAAGUGUGUGUAGAUUGCUUGGUCACCGUGCAAUAAGGCGCUAGAGAUCUUGACAAGAUUAGAACGAGCUAGACAGCAGGGGAGAGCUGAGUAAUUGGUACAAGUAGAAAAACUUGAAGGGAGACGUAUAAUGGAGGGCGUCAACAACCACAAGAACCUGCAGCCUCCGCUAGGCUACCCGACGGUGGACGUGCCGGCGGCGGCGUCGCCGCGCGGCGGACGAGCGAGAGGGCGGGGACGGAAGACUAGUUUCAUCGAUGGAUGCAUUGCCGCGCUGUGCUGCUGUUGGCUCUGCGACCUCUGCUGCGACUAGAGCAGAACAAACAUCAACAGUGCAAUUACAAACAAGUGGGUGUGUGCUAUAUACAUGCUGGGCGGUCAAGGAGCAGAGACUAUUUAUCAUAGCAUCAAGGAUGGUGUAAAAGUUUUACACAUUUUAUGUUUGAUUGUACACAGCUUGUAUUUUUGUUUCCUUUUCUGCUUGUUUUGAGUGCGGUUCGUGUGGAUUUUGACAGUAUCAGUCUGUUUCCUUGUGUCAAAGAAAGUGAAUGGGUUCUAGUAUUUAUUUA